rnacentral:rRNA from 1 species
AUUGAACGCUGGCGGCAUGCCUUACACAUGCAAGUCGAACGGCAGCACGGGUGCUUUCACCUUGUGGCGAUUGGCGCGCGGGUGAGUAAUACAUCUGGACAUGUCCUGUAUUGGGGUAUAGCCCGUCCAAAGCCGGAUUACUACCACAUACUAUCUUCUUAUGCAGCCUGGUUCCCUUCUGGCCUCCCGCUUUGGUGUUGCCCAUUGGCUGAUUAGCUCGUUGGUGGGGUAAAGGCCUACCAAGGCCACGAUCAGUAGCUGAUCUGAGAGGGUGACCAGCCACACUGGGACUGAGACACGGUCCAGACUCCUACGGGAGGCAGCAGUAGGGAAUUUUGGACAAUGGGCGAAAGCCUGAUCCAGCAAUGCCGCGUGUGUGAAGAAGGCCUUCGGGUUGUAAAGCACUGUUGUUAGGAAAGAAAAAAUGGGUACGAAUACGGGCGGGGGAUGACGGUACCGGAAGAAUAAGCAACGGCUAACUACGUG